rnacentral:rRNA from 2 species
UAGAAUUCCACGUGUAGCAGUGAAAUGCGUAGAGAUGUGGAGGAAUACCGAUGGCGAAGGCAGCCUCCUGGGAUAACACUGACGUUCAUGCUCGAAAGCGUGGGUAGCAAACAGGAUUAGAUACCCUGGUAGUCCACGCCCUAAGCGAUGACAAUUAGCUGUUGGGACACUAGAUGUUUUAGUAGCGAAGCUAACGCGUGAAAUUGUCCGCCUGGGGAGUACGGUCGCAAGAUUAAAACUCAAAGGAAUUGACGGGGACCCGCACAAGCGGUGGAUGAUGUGGAUUAAUUCGAUGCAACGCGAAGAACCUUACCUGGUCUUGACAUGUACGGAAUCUCUUAGAGAUAGGAGAGUGCCUUCGGGAGCCGUAACACAGGUGCUGCAUGGCUGUCGUCAGCUCGUGUCGUGAGAUGUUGGGUUAAGUCCCGCAACGAGCGCAACCCUUGUCAUUAGUUGCCAUCAUUAAGUUGGGCACUCUAAUGAGACUGCCGGUGACAAACCGGAGGAAGGUGGGGAUGACGUCAAGUCCUCAUGGCCCUUAUGACCAGGGCUUCACACGUCAUACAAUGGUCGGUACAGAGGGUAGCGAAGCCGCGAGGUGAAGCCAAUCUCAGAAAGCCGAUCGUAGUCCGGAUUGCACUCUGCAACUCGAGUGCAUGAAGUCGGAAUCGCUAGUAAUCGCAGGUCAGCAUAC